rnacentral:rRNA from 1 species
UACAGAGGUCCCAAGCGUUGUUCGGAUUCACUGGGCGUAAAGGGUGCGUAGGUGGCCAGGUAAGUCUGAUGUGAAAUCUCCGAGCUCAACUCGGAAAUGGCAUUGGAAACUAUCUGGCUGGGAGGGUCGGAGGGGGGACUGGAAUUCUCGGUGUAGCAGUGAAAUGCGUAGAUAUCGAGAGGAACACCAGUGGCGAAGGCGAGUCCCUGGACGACUCCUGACACUGAGGCACGAAAGCUAGGGGAGCAAACAGG